rnacentral:sRNA from 1 species
UACGUUGUGACUUUCUUUCCCAGGAGAAACCUGACCUCUACACAGGACCUUGUGCUUAUUGUGAAUGCAUAGGUUUUGAUUGGGAGUGUUUCGUUGCAGAUUGUGGGGAGGUGCAAUGUGUGGAUGGCUAUAGACCUGAAGGAGAAUGUUGUGUUGAAUGUCCUAAUGGUCCAAACUGUUUGUAUAACGACCGAAUAAUCUCAGUGGGCGAGUCAUUUUUUAAUGACGAUGGCGAGUCUUGCACUUGUCAGGAGACUGACAUUUGGACUGAAGCUCCAGAAAUACAGUGUGCAUAAGUUGAGGACGAAUCUAGAUACCUAAAGGCUAAAGACAUCACUGACUGUCUCACUCUUAUUCUAACAUCUACAGAUGUUUUUUUCUUUACCAUAUCCUUAGAAUUACUUCAAUGUGUUAGCAUGAUUUAAAUACUAUAAACUGUCCAUUUAGAUAAACUUUAAUAUGAUUUAUAAUUAUAUGAUUAAGUUCAUUGGUGGUGUCUCUACAACUUUCACAUUUAAAUAGUCAAAUUUGAUUCCCUGUAAUUAGGUACAUACAAUUGACUUAUUUCUAAUAGGUUACUUCUUGUAGUCAACUACAAUCAAGAGUUGUUUUUGGGGGGCUUAGAAAUAAAGACACAAAACUUUU